CUUUCAGCUCUGUUACGAAAAUCGCAUCGGUGACUGUUGAGGUUCUGUUUCACUUCCCACGUUGUCAAAUCUAUUGUUGCACGCAACCAACCCCGCCGGAGUAAAAGUGGUGCUGGUUGGAUAAUAAAGAAAGGCACACAAUUGCUGUUUGUAUAGGUAUUAAAACUCUCAGGGAAGUCCUCUCUCUCUCACUGUCGGCCAUGGUAGUGAUGCUGUUGUGACACACAUACUCUGCUCUUCAGAGUUGGUGCCUGCGAUGUUCAGGGAGAGGAGGGACUGAGCCAUACCGAGUAGUAGUGCUACUACAACGGCUUCCUGUCCAUUCUGAGCUCUUCUUGCAUUGACUAGGAUCGUGCAAUGCGGCCUCCCGACCCUUCCGAGUUGAGGGAGGUCAAUCAGCUCAUCAAAUCAUGGGGUAGAUCACUUCCCAGCUACAAGUUGAGAGGUUAUGGUGGAAAGCGGAGCUUGACAAACCCGUAAUGUGAAUGACGAACCCAGGCUUCCUGUUCGAGUUAAGGUUGUGAACAGCAGCUGGGCCAUCGCCAAAAACACGGAGAAAAUAUAAAGACAACCAACAAUAUCAUUAUUACUUAUUCUUGGAAAAGAUUGCAAUCAAAAGCUACUAUAAGGUAGAGACUUAACAAAACAAUUAAAGGUAUGACUCAAAAAAAACAUGCUUUAUCAUAGACUAGCUUGUAUUAUGAUACAAAAAUAUUUAAAAAAUUAGAUAACAAGCACAUUAGUAUAUUGUUUGAAUCACAAAUUUUAGUAUUAGAAGAAUAUAUUAAAUUUAGACAUUUUUACUUUUAGUUUUAUUUUAAAUAUAAAUAUAUAGAUAUGUAUAUCUAUAUAUAUAUAUAUAUAACAAUGUGUUUGACUAUCCAAUUGGCAGAUUUUGAAUUACAUUUCUUGAGAAAGAAAUGUACCAAAUUUCAAAUAUCUGCUUAGUCAAAGCACAGAUGCACGUGACCACAAUUCAACUAAAUGGACUCACUUCUGGUGUUUCAAAAUUGUAAAUAAAUAAAAUAUUACUAUUUUUGUUUUAA